GUGCUCCCCCGCCAAUUCCUUUAAGUUUCAACCUUGCGGUCGUACUUCCCAAGUGGCCCGCUUCACGGCUUCCCUACGGCACCACGGCAGUUCACGACUGCCGUGACACCUAGCGGGCAUCGUUUACGGCUAGGACUACCCGGGUAUCUAAUCCGGUUCGUGCCCCUAGCUUUCGUCCCUCACCGUCGGACCUGUUCUGGUAGGACGCCUUCGCCACCGGUGGCCCCCAGAGGAUUACAGGAUUUCACUCCUACCCCCUGAGUACCUCCUACCUCUCCCAGUCCCAAGCAAUGUAGUAUCCCGCAGACGCCCAACGGUUAAGCCGCUGGAUUUCCCACAAGGCUCGCAAAGCCGGCUACGGACCCUUUAGACUCAAUAAUAUCGGCCACCACUCGAGCCGCCGGUAUUACCGCGGCGGCUGGCACCGGUCUUGCCCGGCCCUUGCUAACAGCCGUUUUUUAGACAGCUGGACAGACACCUAAUGUAGAUGCCACUCGAUGUUCCCCUAUCGCAGUUGCCUGCAUUGUAGAGUUUUCGCGCCUGCUGCGCCCCGUAGGGCCUGGAUUCGUGUCUCAGAAUCCAUCUCCGGGCUCUUGCUCCCACAACCCGUACUGAUAAUCGGCACGCCGGUACUUUACACCGGCGUCAACCUAAUCAGCCGCAGACCCAUCCAAAGGCGCCAGAGCUUUCAAUCAAAAAACCCUUCCAGUACUCUUGACCUAUCCGGUAUUAUCCCCAGUUUCCCGGAGUUAUCCCAGACCUUUGGGUAGGUUGUCCACGUGUUACUGAGCCGU
rnacentral:rRNA from 1 species